rnacentral:rRNA from 1 species
AUGCAGUUGGUAACGAGCGGUCGGACGGCGGUAAACAUAAAUGGGGAAGUCGGUCCUUAUUUGUCGACGGGCCAAGGGGUCCGACAGGGAGACCCGACAUCCCCAUUUCUAUUCAAUCUUGUGGUUGACGCCCUCGCCUCGAUCCUUGACUUGGCUAAGCGCGCCGGCCACAUCAAGGGGAUUUGCCCCCAUCUUGUGGCCAAUGGAGGUCUGACCCACCUCCAAUAUGCGUACGACACCAUUAUGAUGGUGGAAGGAUCGGAUGAGGAUAUUCAGAACCUCAAGUUCCUCCUCAUGUGCUUCCAGGAAAUGUCGGGGCUCACAAUUAACUUCGCUAAGAGUGAGGUGAUGGUCUUGGGAUACUCCCAGAUGGAAGCGCAGCGCAUUGCCAACCGCUUGAAUUGCCGGUUAGGCACAUUCCCGACCACUUACCUUGGCAUGCCACUCAGUGACAUGCGUCUACUAGAGAAGGACUUCCGUCCAAUAGUCGCCAAGCUCCAGCCUAGAAUGGAGCCCUGGCAGGGGAGAUGGCUAUCUAAAGCCGCUCGAGUGAUUCUGAUGAACUCCUCCCUUAUUAGCCUCUUGAUGUAUAUCAUGGGAUUCUAUAGUCUUCAUGAAUCCCUUCAUCAGGAGGUCACCAAACUUCUCUCCAGAUUCUUCUAGGCUGGAGAGAACAAUAAA